AGUCCACAUCGACGGGGAGGUUUGGCACCUCGAUGUCGGCUCAUCACAUCCUGGCUGUAGUAGGUCCCAAGGGUUGGGCUGUUCGCCCAUUAAAGUGGUACGCGAGCUGGGUUCAGAACGUCGUGAGACAGUUCGGUCCCUAUCCGUCGCAGGCGUAGGAAAUUUGAGAAGGCCUGUCCUUAGUACGAGAGGACCGGGAUGGACGUACCUCUGGUGUACCAGUUGUUCUGCCAAGGGCAUGGCUGGGUAGCUAUGUACGGAAUGGAUAAGCGCUGAAAGCAUCUAAGCGCGAAGCCAACUUCAAGAUAAGAUUUCCCACCGCAAGGGUAAGACCCCAGAAAGACUAUCUGGUUGAUAGGUCGAAGGUGUAAGUGCAGCAA
rnacentral:rRNA from 1 species